rnacentral:misc_RNA from 1 species
UCCGGUUUGACACCGGCAGUCUCCCUAGAGUGCCCGGCAUUAUCCGCUGGUAACUAGGAACGAGGGUUGCGCUCGUUGCGGGACUUAACCCAACAUCUCACUACACGAGCUGACGACAGCCAUGCAGCACCUGUCUCACGGUUCCCGAAGGCACCCGCCCAUCUCUGGGCAGUUCCGUGGAUGUCAAGGCCAGGUAAGGUUCUUCGCGUUGCAUCGAAUUAAACCACAUACUCCACCGCUUGUGCGAGCCCCCGUCAAUUCCUUUGAGUUUCAGUCUUGCGACCGUACUCCCCAGGCGGCGAACUUAACGCGUUAGCUGGGCCCCUGAUCCACGUAGACCAAGGGCGAACACUCAUCGUUUACGGCAUGGACUAC